rnacentral:tRNA from 1 species
CCGUAAAUGAGGGUACAGCUCARCCA